UUAUAAUGUACAUCUUUGAACUUUCGGAUCGGUUAAAGACGAAGCUUGUUCAUCAUCGCCAAAGUCCAGGUGUUGCGAAGCUUCACUGUCACAUAAUCUGAAGGAGAAAAAAUUUGACUUUUGGACUUACUUUCUUCAUGCAUUUUUCGUAUACCAGCCAAAGCAUCUGAGCCUCAUUACCGUCCCUGCAAAACCAUUUGUGAGUCCUGACAGAGAGCCUUCAGGGUGCAUGUCCUGGAAGCAGAUGGAGUAACGUUUCAGGUCGGAUGGGAACACUGAUUCUCCAGACAGCAGAAACUGCAGACCACCCAAAACUACUGCAAACCACUUAAAUCAAGAUCAAACAAAUAAAUGCACUCUCUGUCCUCGUCUUUCUCACCCGGCACUCUCUAUAUUUCAACCCCCUCCCCUCUUCCAUUGAGCCUCCCUUCUCUACAAAAUGCACCGCUCAAGACUGAUGUCUGGAUUACUUGUUCUCCAUCAUCACCAAGGUUUCCUUGAGCUGACCCAGCAGAUUGGACCUCUAAGUGUUGCCGUAAUUCAUGUAGUGAGGGAAAGAGGUUCAUGCAGACUCCAGUAGGUGCUGCUGGAGAGCAGCAGAGUUGACGUUGGUGUGUGUGUCUCCACAAUCUGGGCUGGCCACCAACCUCCUGUCAGCGUACACGACCACGACUCACCACAUCUCCAGGGAGAUGCUGAUAGAAAAAGCCACAGCAACACUAAGUGGCGAUUCACACCUGAGACGGUACAGUAUUUGCAAAAUACAAAGAAAAAGCUUCCAGUUCAGUCUCUGCAUUAAGUCAGCCUGUCGGAGUGUUUCCCUGGAGAGUUUUGGACUUGAAGUUCGUCCCGGCAGUUCCUCUGCUGGUGGCCCCCCGCUGGAGGAGCAAGGUCAGAGUGGACCCGAAACUUUCACAGAGCCUCCACAGAAAUCCCACAACACACUUAUUUUUUUACACAGUGUUCGUCAGUAAGGCUAAUUCAAUAGUCUAAAGACAAUUGCUUCGAAUGCAACAAGAGGGUUCAGAAGGUGUUGCAGACAAAUUGUCAGGAAGACAAAAACCUAUUGAAAACAUAUUGCUUUUGUUUAUUUAUUUUUUUUGUAUAUUUUCAAAUAUGGGACUAACCGUCUUGAUGGUGGCACUAAAAUUUCCAAUUUCUAAAGGUUCGAAAUAUGAAAAUGUUCAUUUGCAGUGUGUCAUGUGGACAUAUGGAUGGUUCAUGUGAUGUUUGUGAGCUGCUACCUU